rnacentral:rRNA from 1 species
CCCUUUGGUUGGGGAUAACACUUCUAACGGAGUGCUAAUACCGAAUGAGAUCAUUUCAUCGCAUGGUGAUUUGAUGAAAGGCGGCCUCUUCUUGAAAGCUGUCACCGAAGGAUGGUCCCGCGUUCCAUUAGCUUGUUGGUGAGGUAACGGCUCACCAAGGCUACGAUGGAUAGCCGGCCUUAGCGGGUGACCGGCCACACUGGGACUGAGAUACGGCCCAGACUCC